CGUUCCUAGGAAGAGUGAGUUUUCUGUGCUCAGGGUGGAGUUUAACAGCGGAGAAUAGAGGAGCACUUUAGGACAUUGCUUCGUCUAUGUGGUAGUCUAUACAGGGGAUGGAAGAUGCUUCUAACACUUGUCAGUUAGUACUUAAGUUACUCAGUAUUCUAGUUUUAAGUUACUCAGUUAGUACUUUAAUUUGGUCCCAGGUCCUACAGAUCCUGAGUUUUUUGCGGGUAGUGCAGUAGCAUUAUGGGGGCACGGUUGUGCACUGUUAGGUGGACGCCAGAUGGAGGGUGUCUAGAAUGUGUUCAGCUGUCGUCUGAGAUAAAUACGUGUCGUGGGGAGCUGUCAUCCAUGGAGCAGGAGCUGCAGAGGCUGCGGAGAGACACCAGUAUGAAUUCCUCCCAGCUCAGCUACGUGGAGGAGACCCUGCAGAAGACCCAGGGCCUACUGGAGGAGAAGAACGACACGGUUGUGGACUUGGAGGAGAAGCUCCACUGCUGUGAGGAGGACAGGCGGACCUCUGUGCAGCAUGUGAAGGAUCUGGAGGGACAGCUACAGGAGGUGCGCGAUGAGAUGCACGACACCCUAGAGAAACUACAGGAGCUGAGAGACCUGUUACAGGCCACGCAGCUUGGCGCAGAUGAACGACAGAUUUCAUUGGAGAAACUGUCCGCCGAGCUCAGCUGGGCCAGUUGGACGUGGUCAUCAGAGACCAUACCCUGGAGAUAGACAAAAAGGCUCAGUCCCUACAGCAGACUGGACCAGAGAAAGAGGACUCUGCAGCAGAGCCAGCACCUGUGUCUUGGGAGAGAACAACACAAGAACUCCAGAGGACGGUUGGGGGAGCUGCAGGAUACACUCGCUGGGAGAGCCUGUGCAGAGCGAUGGAAAGCAUCACGCAACAUGCCAGGGGAGGCACAGGUGUGUGGUUCAGGCAGAGGUCAGACUGCAAGCCACUGUCUCCUCUGUGCAGCUGGAGGAGAGAGAACGGCAGGUACAACAGGGCCCAACAACGGUCUUUGUAGUGUCUGUCAGUCGUUUUCUCUCUCUUUGUUUCAGUCAGUCUCUUUCUCUCUCUGUUGCUGUCUCUGUCUGUCUCUCUGUUGUUGUCUCUCUCUUUCUCUCUCUGUUGCCGUCUCUGUCUGUCUCUCUCUCUGUUGUUGUCUCUCUCUUUCUCUGUUGCUGUCUCUCUCUUUCUCUCUGUUGCUGUCUGUCUGUCUCCGUCUCUCUUUCUCUCUCUGUUGCUGUCUCUCUCUUUCUCUCUCUGUUGUUGUCUCUCUCUUUCUCUCUGUUGCUGUCUCUCUCUUUCUCUGUUGCUGUCUCUCUCUUUCUCUCUGUUGCUGUCUCUGUCUGUCUCCGUCUCUCUGUUGUUGUCUCUGUCUCUCUCUUUCUCUCUCUGUUGCUGUUUCUCUCUCUCUUUCUCUCUCUGUUGCUGUCUCUCUCUCUCUUUCUCUCUCUGUUGCUGUUUCUCUCUCUCUUUCUCUCUCUGUUGCUGUCUCUCUCUCUCUUUCUCUCUCUGUUGCUGUUUCUCUCUCUCUUUCUCUCUCUGUUGUUGUCUCUGUCUCUCUCUUUCUCUCUCUGUUGCUGUUUCUCUCUCUCUUUCUCUCUCUGUUGUUGUCUCUGUCUCUCUCUUUCUCUCUCUGUUGCUGUUUCUCUCUCUCUUUCUCUCUCUGUUGUUGUCUCUGUCUCUCUCUUUCUCUCUCUGUUGCUGUUUCUCUCUCUUUCUCUCUCUGUUGCUGUUUCUCUCUCUCUUUCUCUCUCUGUUGCUGUCUCUCUAUUUCUCUCUCUGUUGCUGUCUAUGUCUGUCUCUCUUUCUCUCUGUUGCUGUCUCUCGUUUUCUUUCUUUGUCAGUCAGUCAGUCUCUCACACAGUCACUAUCUUUGUCUUUCUCCUCAGUUCCCUCUGUCUCUCUCUAUCUCUACUGUUCUGCUCUUGGAUAUCAAAUCUAUUCCACAGUUCCUCUUUCACUUUGUUUCUCUUUUUUUCCCUAAUCACCUGUUCUCUUUAUUUCUGUAAUCACCACUUAUCUUACAGUGGGGCAAACAAGUAUUUAGUCAGCCACCAAUUGUGCAAGUUCUCCCACUUAAAAAGAUGAGAGAGGCCUGAAAUUUUCAUCAAAGGUACACUUCAACUAUGACAGACAAAAUGAGAGAAAAAAAAUCCAGAAAAUCACAUUGUAGGAUUUUUAAUGAAUUUAUUUGCAAAUUAUGGUGGAAAAUAAGUAUUUGGUCACCUACAAACAAGCAAGAUUUCUGGCUCUCACAGACCUGCAAC
rnacentral:lncRNA from 1 species